rnacentral:rRNA from 1 species
UACGUAGGUGGCGAGCGUUGUCCGGAUUUACUGGGCGUAAAGCGUGCGUAGACGGUAGCGUAAGUCAGAUGUGAAAGCCCCGGGCUCAACCUGGGAAUUGCAUUUGAGACUGCUCUGCUCGGGUGCGGAAGAGGGAAGCGGAAUUUCCGGUGUAGCGGUGAAAUGCGUAGAUAUCGGAAGGAACACCAGUGGCGAAAGCGGCUUCCUGGUCCGACACCGACGUUCAGGCACGAAAGCGUGGGGAGCAAACAGG